UCCGGUUUGGCACCGGCAGUCUUCCUAGAGUCCCCGCCAUUACGCGCUGGCAACUAACGAUAAGGGUUGCGCUCGUUGCUGGACUUAACCAAACACCUCACGGCACGAGCUGACGACAGCCAUGCAGCACCUAUAUAAAGACCCUUUCGAGAAACACCAUCUCUGGUGUCGUCCUCUAUAUUUCGAGCCCAGGUAAGGUUCUUCGCGUUGCAUCGAAUUAAACCACAUGCUCCACUGCUUGUGCGGGCCCCCGUCAAUUCUUUUGAGUUUCACCCUUGCGAGCGUACUCCCCAGGCGGCAUACUUAAUGCGUUAGCUCCGAAACAGGGGGGGUUGAGCCCUCCUACUUCUAGUAUGCAUCGUUUAAGGCAUGGACUAC
rnacentral:misc_RNA from 1 species